AUUGAACGCUGGCGGCAGGCCUAACACAUGCAAGUCGGACGGUAGCACAGAGAGCUUGCUCUCGGGUGACGAGUGGCGGACGGGUGAGUAAUGUCUGGGGAUCUGCCCGAUAGAGGGGGAUAACCACUGGAAACGGUGGCUAAUACCGCAUAACGUCGCAAGACCAAAGAGGGGGACCUUCGGGCCUCUCACUAUCGGAUGAACCCAGAUGGGAUUAGCUAGUAGGCGGGGUAACGGCCCACCUAGGCGACGAUCCCUAGCUGGUCUGAGAGGAUGACCAGCCACACUGGAACUGAGGCACGGUCCAGACUCCUACGGGAGGCAGCAGUGGGGGAUAUUGCACAAUGGGCGCAAGCCUGAUGCAGCCAUGCCGCGUGUAUGAAGAAGGCCUUCGGGUUGUAAAGUACUUUCAGCGGGGAGGAAGGCGAUGUGGUUAAUAACCGCAUUGAUUGACGUUACCCGCAGAAGAAGCACCGGCUAACUCCGUGCCAGCAGCCGCCGUAA
rnacentral:rRNA from 1 species